GAUGAACGCUGGCGGCGUGCCUAAUACAUGCAAGUCGAGCGAACAGAUGAGGAGCUUGCUCCUCUGACGUUAGCGGCGGACGGGUGAGUAACACGUGGAUAACCUACCUAUAAGACUGGGAUAACUUCGGGAAACCGGAGCUAAUACCGGAUAAUAUAUUGAACCGCAUGGUUCAAUAGUGAAAGACGGUUUUGCUGUCACUUAUAGAUGGAUCCGCGCCGCAUUAGCUAGUUGGUAAGGUAACGGCUUACCAAGGCAACGAUGCGUAGCCGACCUGAGAGGGUGAUCGGCCACACUGGAACUGAGACACGGUCCAGACUCCUACGGGAGGCAGCAGUAGGGAAUCUUCCGCAAAGGGCGAAAGCCUGACGGAGCAACGCCGCGUGAGUGAUGAAGGUCUUCGGAUCGUAAAACUCUGUUAUUAGGGAAGAACAAAUGUGUAAGUAACUAAGCACGUCUUGACGGUACCUAAUCAGAAAGCCACGGCUAACUACGUG
rnacentral:rRNA from 1 species